rnacentral:rRNA from 1 species
AUUGAACGCUGGCGGCAUGCCUUACACAUGCAAGUCGAACGGCAGCACGGGUGCUUGUACCUGGUGGCGAGUGGCGAACGGGUGAGUAAUACAUCGGAACAUGUCCUGUAGUGGGGGAUAGCCCGGCGAAAGCCGGAUUAAUACCGCAUACGAUCUACGGAUGAAAGCGGGGGACCUUCGGGCCUCGCGCUAUAGGGUUGGCCGAUGGCUGAUUAGCUAGUUGGUGGGGUAAAGGCCUACCAAGGCGACGAUCAGUAGCUGGUCUGAGAGGACGACCAGCCACACGGGGACGGAGCCACGCCCCAGCCUCCUGGGGGAGGCGGAGGGGGGGAUUUUUGGACAAUGGGCGAAAGCGUCACCCAGCACUGCCGCGUGUGGAAAGACGCCCUGCGGUUUGUAAGGCUUUUUUGCCGGGAAAAAAUUCCUUGCCCAUAUUACGGUCGGGGGAUGCGGCCCCCGGAAAAAAAGCCCCCGCCUACCUCGGCC